GGGGGGGGCGGUAUGGACAAGCCCCAGGGAAAAUGCACACAGGCUGUGCUUCCCAGGUGCCCUCUGCAGGAGCGCUCCCUACCCCUAGACUUAGCCUUGGGCCUUUGCAGCCCGACUGGAGCUGUCAGAGGCGCCACCUGGUGUUGGUGGGGACACACUGGAACCAGGGAGUUGGGGGCAGAGGUCUGGUGGAAAUGUGUCCUAGGGGCCACACCCCAGUGACAGGGUGAGCACCGAGAGGAAUAAGAUGGCCCCCAACCUGGGGAGGGGACUGUCUUUGGGGUAACUACUUACCCCAGCUCUUCAGGGACCAGAAAUAUUUUGCUUCUGGCUAAAAGCUUAGGCAAUCAUUCCAUGUGUUUUGUGAAGUCACAGUGGACGGUGAGCUGAGGUGGACCCUCACGACGAAAAUGCAAAAUGGUAAACAGGACAAACGCCCAAGAAGAGAGAAGGGAGUCCUAAUGGGCACGAAGUGUGGUAGUGGCUUCAGCCUGGAGGCUGCAGCACUGUGGUCCCCACUCAGGCCCACGGGCAGGGCCCCCUCUCCACACUGGUGGGCUAGCUGGGGAAGGGAGCUCUUUAUUCAGUUUUCAAAAGGACUCAGUGGCAGAGCCAUGCUUCCCCCCCCACCCCCUUUUCCUCUCCUGCCUGCCUUUGGUUCUUCAAAGUCUGAACUCACAAGGGGGCAUGGAGGGAGGGGAGUGGCUCAUCCUGUCCCCCAGCUCACCUCAUGCCCGUGACAUUCCUGCUUCCCCAGCCUCCCCACCCCCCACAGGAGUAGCCUGGGAGCCAGAGAGGCCCGCUCGUUGCCAGCUAGGAUGAGCAGGCGGGGCAGCCCUGGUUGGGGCCCACUGAGCCAGUGGACCAGUAUCCUGAGAUGAGUCUCCAGAGAGCUGUCCCAAGCGGGCGCGUGGCAGCUAGUGAGUCAGGAAACCUUGCAGCCCACUGAGCAGGCGGUCAGGAGCUCGGAGCCAGUGCUGCGGAAGGCACCCUGCAGCACGGCGGGUCUGCAGCCAAGAAAGAAGAUGUGCACAGCAGGCCACAGUAUGCCACCAUCAGGGCCACGGCAAGACCUCCCUGCGCCCCAGGACGGUGCAGCCCUGGGGCGCAGAGAGGCCUUUUGGGGGUCAGAGCCCCAAGAGGCAACCAGGAGGAAGGCCAGGAGCCCUGGGCUAGAGAAGCGGUGGGAGGCAGUGAGAACCCCACUCUUGGGGGCUGUUUACAGCCAGGAGCAUCAGAGGCCCCAGCUAUGGGACAAUGACAAGAGGGCGCCUGGACAGAUGGCAGGCCACACUUCAGUCACUUCCUGCCCAACUGUGGUCUGGCCUUUCCCUCCCUGCCCCAGGUGUGGUGCUGAGCUCAUGGAGGACACAGAGGGCGGAGGCCGCCGCCCCCAGCAGGACUGCCUGCAGGGGCAGCUCUGAGCCCUCGGCUGAGCCCGGCUGGACAGGGCAGCUGCCGGCCAGGAUGGAGGCCCUCUCCCGUCCUUCAGCCAAAAUCUGGAGAAACCUUCCCUGACUAUCCCAACUCAACUCUCAUUUACCCAAGCCGACAGAGUCACUUGUUACAGCCACUAGUGUGGCAGGGGUGCUCCGUGUAUCCGUGACCUGGGUGAGUGGCCUCCCAGGUCUCUCAUGGCCUGUGGGGGCAGUUGGGGGGUGGGGACAGCCAGGUCUUAGAGAACCAGGUGGCCUCAGCCCCUACACUGGCUGGUUGGACUAAGCCGAGCCCAUCCUGCGCUCAGUGACACCCACGGAGCUCCACACCCGGCCCAGCUACUCACAGUUCCAGUCAGCAUUUCAUACAGCAGAGACCCAAAGCUCCACCAGUCACAGGCCUCCGUCAGCUCAGAGAUCCCCCCCACCUCUGUGGGAAUAAGAACACACACAUCCCAGCCUCACCCAGGAGGGCUGGUCUCCACUCUACUCGUCCUACCCAGACGUGGCCCCUUCCCUCUGUCACCCUCAGUGCCCCCCAGCUCAACCCACAGAGGCACCCAAGAUCUAGACACCGCCCCCCCCGCCAUCCCCGCUCCCUUCUUGCCUGGGGCGCUGUAGAGAUUGUCCAAAGCCUCCCUGCAGCAGUGAGGCUCCACCUCUGACCACUGGCCAAAAUACGUGAGCCGGAUGUGACCUUCUCAUCCAGUGCACGCAGGGAGGAAUAAAGGUGAACAAAAAUCGUGGUCCGUCAUCACUGAGCAGGUGAUGACGGACCAGAGCCUCCCCCCACAAGUCACAGAGCAGGAGCCAGCGGCCACACUGGGCACAGCCACCCUCAGGCCUGGUCCCCUGAGGCUCAGAGACAACCAGGUAUUCCUGGGAGCUGCCGCCCUGGACUCGGGGUGAGGAGGGGAGGGCUGGUUUUCCAGGCUCGACCUUGGCCAACCAGACUGUGUGGAGUCCUGCAUGAAAAGGCCGGGGGGAGGCAGAGGGGGCAGAUAGCUUCCGAGGUCCCCUUGACCUUGGGGCCCUCUCAUGCUGGGUUGGAGGCUUUGGGGGCCCCGUGUGAGAGGUGGGGUGAGGGCGGCCUAAUCCCUGCGCCCCGGCCUAGGCACCUACCUGCCUGGUCCAAAAGCAGGUUCCGGGGAUUGAGGUCUCGGCACAGCACCCCCUGCUCGUGCAGUGCUUCCAGGGCCACCAGCAUCUCGGCAGCCCACCGCUUCACCUGCUCUUCCUUCACACACCAGGCACCCCUGCCGCACCCCGGGCUGGCCCGAUCUGCUAAGGGGCGGCUCUGGCUUCGGCCUCGGCCACAGGCCCCCAGCACCCGGACAGCCCCCUGAUGAACCCAAGGGAGCCCCCAAGAGGGCCUCAUGUCCGAGCUCUGGCCAGGUCCUCGCCCAGUUUGGAGGUGCAGGCGGCCACCUGGGGCCUUCAGAAGGUCCGAGGGGCAGGAGGUAUGGGUCCUGGCCGAGGGGUCACCUUCGGUCUCUCUCCAUGGAGUGAUGGAUGGGGCCUCCCUGGCUGGGGAAAGACUCCGAGAAGUCCGUGGAGGCUCCAGAAGGAUCCUGUCCUGCAGGUGGGUGGGGCCCAGGGGGAGCAGCGCUGGGGUCUGGAGGCCGAGGGGUGAGUUGAGUGAAGACUUCGUCCUUUCUGGGGUGGAGCCAGACCUGAGCCCAGGUUGUUGGGGGUGCUUCUGGGAGAGCAGGUGGGACCAGAGAGUGCCUCCUGGGCCAUGCAGGGGGGGCAGGGGAGAGGAAGAGUGUGGACACCAGGUCCCCAACUCCUGCCUCCCCUCAUGUCCUCACCUGUGCCCCCUCCCUCCUCAGCCUGGAAUGCCCUCUGCUGUCCCUCUGACUCACCCAGAGGGGACCCUGCCUCACAAGCUGGCACAAAAUAGGGGCUUAACCCCAAGGUAGUUGUAAAUUAUCACUCCUGUCCUUGGUUUGGGUGGUAGGUUCCCCAGUGCUCAAUAUAUUACACUUUCUACUUUCUUUUCUUUUCUUUUUUUU